rnacentral:rRNA from 1 species
GAUGAAUGCUGGCGGCGUGCCUAAUACAUGCAAGUCGAGCGAACAGAUAAGGAGCUUGCUCCUUUGACGUUAGCGGCGGACGGGUGAGUAACACGUGGGUAACCUACCUAUAAGACUGGGAUAACUUCGGGAAACCGGAGCUAAUACCGGAUAACAUUUGGAACCGCAUGGUUCUAAAGUGAAAGAUGGUUUUGCUAUCACUUAUAGAUGGACCCGCGCCGUAUUAGCUAGUUGGUAAGGUAACGGCUUACCAAGGCAACGAUACGUAGCCGACCUGAGAGGGUGAUCGGCCACACUGGAACUGAGACACGGUCCAGACUCCUACGGGAGGCAGCAGUAGGGAAUCUUCCGCAAUGGGCGAAAGCCUGACGGAGCAACGCCGCGUGAGUGAUGAAGGGUUUCGGCUCGUAAAACUCUGUUAUUAGGGAAGAACAAAUGUGUAAGUAACUGUGCACGUCUUGACGGUACCUAAUCAGAAAGCCACGGCUAACUACGUG